rnacentral:siRNA from 1 species
CCGCUCUGCUCGAUACGCUCUCUC